CCGGCAAAAAUGGAAAAUAAAUCCGGCCAGAUCAACACGGACCUAAGACUCAGACGUCGCAUGUAUCAUUUGGCAAACCUUCCGUAUUAAAAUGACCCUAUUCACCAUAAACUCAUUGUUUCUGCUAGGUUCGGCACAUGGAGAGUUGACGUUUGUUCUUGAAACUACGAAAUCUCGGAAGUGGAUUUCAUUUGCGUGAUAAGUUUCCUCAGUGUCUGCGGCAAUUGAAAACAUACACUUUGUGUCUUGG